CCUUCGGGGCGCAGCAGGCGCGAAAACUCUACAAUGCAGGCAACUGCGAUAGGGGAACAUCGAGUGAUACUCAUAUUGGGUGUCUGUCCCACCGUCUAAAAAACGGUGGUUAGCAAGGGCCGGGCAAGACCGGUGCCAGCCGCCGCGGUAAUACCGGCGGCUCGAGUGGUGGCCGAUAUUAUUGAGUCUAAAGGGUCCGUAGCCGGCUUUGCAAGUCUUUUGGGAAAUCCAGCGGCUUAACCGUUGGUCGUCCGGGAGAUACUACAUUGCUUGGGACUGGGAGAGGUAGGAGGUACUCAGGGGGUAGGAGUGAAAUCCUGUAAUCCUUUGGGGACCACCGGUGGCGAAGGCGUCCUACCAGAACAGGUCCGACGGUGAGGGACGAAAGCUAGGGGCACGAACCGGAUUAGAUACCCGGGUAGUCCUAGCCGUAAACGAUGCUCGCUAGGUGUCACAACAAUCGUGAAUUGUUGUGGUGCCGUAGGGAAGCCGUGAAGCGAGCCACUUGGGAAGUACGACCGCAAGGUUGAAACUUAAAGGAAUUGGCGGGGGAGCAC
rnacentral:rRNA from 1 species